GGUCAAGUGAAUAAGUGCAUACGACGGAUGCCUUGGCAUUAGAAGGCGAUGAAGGACGUGAUAAUCUGCGAUAAGCUUCGGUUAGCUGAUAAAUAAGCUUUAACCCGGAGAUCUCCGAAUGGGAAAACCCAGUGAUCAUAAGAUCAUUAUCCUUAACUGAAUACAUAGGUUAAGGAGGCAAACCUAGGGAACUGAAACAUCUAAGUACCUAGAGGAAAAGAAAUCAACCGAGAUUCCCUUAGUAGCGGCGAGCGAACGGGGACCAGCCCUUAAGCAUAUUUUAAAUUACUAGAAUGUUCUGGAAAGUUCAACGAUACAGGGUGAUAGUCCCGUAAAGGAAAAUUUAAUAUAUGUGAAAUCGAGUAAGGCGGCGCACGUGAAACGCUGUUUGAAAAUGGGGGGACCACCCUCCAAGGCUAAAUACUCUCUACUGACCGAUAGUGAACAAGUACCGUGAGGGAAAGGCGAAAAGAACCCCGGGAGGGGA
rnacentral:rRNA from 1 species